rnacentral:rRNA from 1 species
GACGAACGCUGGCGGCGUGCCUAAUACAUGCAAGUAGAACGCUGAAGGAGGAGCUUGCUUCUCUGGAUGAGUUGCGAACGGGUGAGUAACGCGUAGGUAACCUGCCUGGUAGCGGGGGAUAACUAUUGGAAACGAUAGCUAAUACCGCAUAAGAGUAGAUGUUGCAUGACAUUUGCUUAAAAGGUGCAAUUGCAUCACUACCAGAUGGACCUGCGUUGUAUUAGCUAGUUGGUGAGGUAACGGCUCACCAAGGCGACGAUACAUAGCCGACCUGAGAGGGUGAUCGGCCACACUGGGACUGAGACACGGCCCAGACUCCUACGGGAGGCAGCAGUAGGGAAUCUUCGGCAAUGGACGGAAGUCUGACCGAGCAACGCCGCGUGAGUGAAGAAGGUUUUCGGAUCGUAAAGCUCUGUUGUAAGAGAAGAACGAGUGUGAGAGUGGAAAGUUCACACUGCGACGGUAUCUUACCAGAAAGGGACGGCUAACUACGUG